GUCAGCAGCCGAACCACCUGCUGUUCAGACUAGAUGAUCCACCUGAAGCUAAGCAGGUUUAGGCCUGGCCAGUACUUGGAUGGGAGACCAACUAGGAAGCUGGGCUCCUGCUGGGA
rnacentral:rRNA from 1 species